UAGAAGUCGUAACAAGGUCUCCGUUGGUGAACCAGCGGAGGGAUCAUUACCGAGUUUACAACUCCCAAACCCAAUGUGAACGUUACCAAACUGUUGCCUCGGCGGGGUCACGCCCCGGGUGCGUAAAAGCCCCGGAACCAGGCGCCCGCCGGAGGAACCAACCAAACUCUUUCUGUAGUCCCCUCGCGGACGUAUUUCUUACAGCUCUGAGCAAAAAUUCAAAAUGAAUCAAAACUUUCAACAACGGAUCUCUUGGUUCUGGCAUCGAUGAAGAACGCAGCGAAAUGCGAUAAGUAAUGUGAAUUGCAGAAUUCAGUGAAUCAUCGAAUCUUUGAACGCACAUUGCGCCCGCCAGUAUUCUGGCGGGCAUGCCUGUCCGAGCGUCAUUUCAACCCUCGAACCCCUCCGGGGGGUCGGCGUUGGGGAUCGGGACCCCUCACCGGGUGCCGGCCCUGAAAUACAGUGGCGGUCUCGCCGCAGCCUCUCCUGCGCAGUAGUUUGCACAACUCGCACCGGGAGCGCGGCGCGUCCACGUCCGUAAAACACCCAACUUCUGAAAUGUUGACCUCGGAUCAGGUAGGAAUACCCGCUGAACUUAAGCAUAUCAAUAAGG
rnacentral:rRNA from 1 species